CACAUCAUAAUCCCACUUGCUGUCAUUCCAGAAACGUACAGCUUCACCAGAUGGGCUCGUGGCAAAGUGGGAAAAGAUAUGUACAAGCACGACUACAGGUACCCUGUCAGCCGAACCAAAGGGAAGACUUCCCCUUCCUGAUUCUCUGCUAUCUGUCGCAUUCAGAGAAGGAC
rnacentral:lncRNA from 1 species